GCCAGCCCGCUCAGAAACUCAAAGGAAUUGACGGGGCCCGCACAAGCGGUGGAGUAUGUGGUUUAAUUCGAUGCAACGCGAAGAACCUUACCUGGUCUUGACAUCCCGGAGACCCUUAGGAAACUAGGGGGUGCUUCCAUCUGGAAGAAUCUGGAGACAGGUGCUGCAUGGCUGUCGUCAGCUCGUGUCGUGAGAUGUCGGGUUAAGUCCCGCAACGAGCGCAACCCUUGCCUUUAGUUGCCAGCAGUUCGGCUGGGCACUCUAAAGGGACUGCCGGUGUUAAACCGGAGGAAGGUGGGGAUGACGUCAAGUCCUCAUGGCCUUUAUGACCAGGGCUACACACGUACUACAAUGGCCGAUACAAAGGGCAGCGACACUGCGAGGUGAAGCCAAUCCCGUAAAAUCGGUCUCAGUCCGGAUUGGAGUCUGCAACUCGACUCCAUGAAGUUGGAAUCGCUAGUAAUCGUGGAUCAGCAUGCCACGGUGAAUACGUUCCCGGGCCUU
rnacentral:rRNA from 1 species